rnacentral:rRNA from 1 species
CCUACGGGAGGCAGCAGGGGGGAAUAUUGGACAAUGGGGGCAACCCUGAUCCAGCCAUGCCGCGUGUGUGAAGAAGGCCCUCGGGUUGUAAAGCACUUUCAGUGAGGAAGAACGCCUGGUGGUUAAUACCCAUCAGGAAAGACAUCACUCACAGAAGAAGCACCGGCUAACUCCGUGCCAGCAGCCGCGGUAAUACGGAGGGUGCGAGCGUUAAUCGGAAUUACUUGGCGUAAAGCGCGCGUAGGUGGCUUGAUAAGCCGGUUGUGAAAGCCCCGGGCUCAACCUGGGAACGGCAUCCGGAACUGUCAAGCUAGAGUGCAGGAGAGGAAGGUAGAAUUCCCGGUGUAGCGGUGAAAUGCGUAGAGAUCGGGAGGAAUACCAGUGGCGAAGGCGGCCUUCUGGACUGACACUGACACUGAGGUGCGAAAGCGUGGGUAGCAAACAGGAUUAGAUACCCGAGUAGUC